rnacentral:rRNA from 1 species
CAAUAGCGUAUAUUAAAGCUGUUGCGGUUAAAAAGCUCGUAGUUGGAUUUCUGUCAAGGACAACUGGUCCGCCCUCCGGGUGAGCACAUAGUUUGGUCUUGACAUCUUGCUGGAAGCUGUUGCUGCACUUGGCUGUGUGGCGCAGUGUUCAGCACUUUCACUUUGAGGAAAUUGGAGUGUUUCAAGCAGGCACAUGCCUUUGGACACAGUAGCAUGGAAUAAUUAGAUUGGGCUUUUGCUCCAAUUUGUCGGUUUCUGGAGCUGAGGUGAGUAUUAAUGGGGAUUGUUGGGGGCAUCCGAAUUUAGCCGUCAGAGGUGAAAUUCUUGGAUCUGCUAAAGACGGACAACUGCGAAAGCGUUUGCCAAGGAUGUUUUCAUUAA